AGAAUGUCUGCAGUAUUUCCUGAAAUAAGUAUCCCUCAAGGAUGAUACUGUGGACCUCACUCAGGAAGAAUGUGUCCUUCAGAGAAAGCUGCGCAGAGACGUGGUGCUGGAGAAGCAGUCAUCUGGUUACUUUGGUACAUGACUUCAGGCUCCUAUGUGCAGAAGUCCUCAACCCCCAGGCUGCAGACCAGUACCUGUCCAUGGCCUGUUAGGAAACUGGCCGCACAGCAGGAGUGUGUACUGUCAUUGUUGCUACAGGUGAAAUGAUUAUUGCAGUUUUGAGGGGAGAUGAUGUCACAAGAUCUCGAACCCAUAUCUCAGAACUGCCUGCCUCCUCCCACACACUCUGGCUGUCCUGACCAUCACUUCAAGCCCACCAGCCCUGCAGCAAAAAAAAUCAAACGAGUAGUUCAGAAGGCAAAGUCUGCAAGGGAAGGAAGUGUAUUGGGAGGUACAGUAAGUACUCCUGUCUGGAGAAGGUCUUCUUUGGGGCUAGAAACUGAGCCAGUGCUAAAGCCAUGCAGGAAGGAGGAAAUAAUCAGUGAGCCACGGGCUGAACUUGUGGAGAAGAAAUGGAGGGCAAGGUCACAAACCAGUCCCUAACUGCUUCUAAUUUAAUGUAAUCCUCACUGUUUGUCAUUAUUGCUUUUGAUGGCCAUGAAAUCUGUUUUUUUCCCAGUUCUCUAGUGUAAUUUGGAAUUAAUUUCCCAGCUGCUUUAUUUUUUUUCUAGAAGAGUCAG
rnacentral:lncRNA from 1 species